GUGAUUUAUACUAUGUGCCAAUGAAAACAUUCCCCUCUGGGGAAGGUUGCACUGGGAUGCAGGGAAAACGUAGCACGCCCUGGCCAUUUCCUGCUGAACCUUUCAGCAGGAAGGAAGAUGAACACUGACCUAGAUGAUCUUAAAGUUUCGUUCUUCUAAAAUGCUUAUUAACCUCUGAAUGGACUGACCUGAGCAGGAUUCACUGUGGAGAGAAGACUUCAGUUACUUGUGUUCCUUGUGAGUACAAAAUGCUCACCUAAAUUCCACACUGUGUCGCUGCUUUAUUACAGGAGAACUUUUGAUACUGCCUGCAGACAGAAACAAGCUGAAGUUUUGCCAUCUUUAGUGCCUCUCUUCCUGUUCAGUUUCCUGGUUAUUGGUUUGGUUUGGUGCCAGGGAAAUGACCAUGGCUCUUCCCCCAGAAAGCAUAUUCUUCAUCUUUUGAUAUUAUUCAAGACUACACUUCCAGCCAGGUAGCCAAGUCUAGUGAAGUAAAAUCAAAGAAACUGUAAUAAUCAUUUGAACAGUAAGAGCACACUGCAUACCCCACCCGCACACCCUCUGAAGGAUUUCAGUUACAGGUUCUGAAUAGAAGGAGUGAAAAGAAUCAGCUUUACAACAUCCAAGUUGUACCAAGAUCCCUUCUGCACUGGGACUCACAGGCAGACAGCCACAUGCAGCCCCACAGAGACGUGAAUGGAUUUGUGUUGAGU